UUGAGCUACAUAAGGAGGGAUUUGAGGAAAAUGAAAUACUCGAAGAGACAGCAGUCACUGAUACUGCAAAUUCAUUGCAAAAUGCGGACGAACAAAGUGAUCAUUAGAUAGAAAAAGAAAACUAAGUUGGGUCUGGAAUUACUUCUAUCAGAUAAGUGAUAGAGUUUAUGUUUGUAAAAUUUGUAACUUAGAAGUUAUCCAAACACAACGCAAUUGUCAACUUCUGAACAAACAUAUAAAGGGUAACCACUUAAAGGUACACAAGAUUGAAGUUAGGAGGAAAAAAGGUAUUGCCGAGCUGAAAAAGUUUGAGCAAAAUAGCACCUGUGCUGGUGCAAUAACCUCAAGGAUGAACUUAAUUAAUAAAGAAUUGAAUUGGAACCAACUUGUAGAAGAAGAAAGAGUGAAUUACAAAAAUGUUAAUAUUAACAAGAAAAUUGGUGUUGUUGGUACUUUAACUCCAACAUUGGAUAAACACUUGGAAUGUACCACGGAUUAUACUGAAUUAGAUGCUGUCUACUUUAUUUCGAAAAGAGGGAAUCUUGUGAUCAGAUUAGGUCCAUACACAUUUUACAGACAGACAUGGAAUAGGAAGAGAAUAAGAUGGUUUUGUAAGAAUGCACAGAGAGGCUGUAAGGCGGCCCUCUCAACUAUAGAUGAUAGAAUAGUUAGACUUUAAGGGAAACAUAUUUUUUUUUUAUAUGCGCCGCGAUGGCAAAUGGCUCUACUCCACCUGAUGGUAAGUGGUAGUAGAGUCCAAACGCGACGACGGCCAGUACAGUCGGGAAGAAUGUUCUGUACUAGCCGUCCCCGCCUUGCCGGCCCGCAAAUUGUGGCCCGGGUUGUAAGAGGAGGGGAACACGUGAUCAUUGUCCAUGUAAAAAAAUGAUGAUAAAAGUGAUUUAAAUAUUUGUUUAAAGCUUAAUGCUUAAAUUAGCUAUAGAGCUCUUUUUUUUUAAAUAACUUAUAUGAUACAUAAUUUUAAA